GAUGGGAAAGAGAUGACUGACUGAGGUGGUUGAUGGGAUUCUUACAGCCCCUGUCAGGCUUCAAUUUGCAAAGCUCCAUAGUGGAUCCCUAAACCUCUCCACACAGGAAAUUGUGCAGGAGACUGGGGGAAAGGUGACGAGGCAGGUAUCAAAUAUUUUCUAGUUCUUUGCCGGAGGCCCUGGCCAGUGGGCAUACUUUAGAAUGAGGAUAAACGAAAAGAGCACCUCUUACCCAUGAUUAUGGUGGAUGGAGUCAAGACCAGGCAUGGACAAGAUGCCAGUGGAGAGUGCUGGAGGGUGAGAACCAUGGACACCUAAGUCAACAUGUCAUCAAAGCGAAAACAGCCUGAACCUGGAGUCAAAAGCCAAGUACUAAAUCAAAGGAUUAGCAAGAUAAAGAGAUCAAGCACAAGAAGGUUGGAAAUGGCUAGAGGGAACAUGGACUUGGUGAAGGCCAUUGCCAGUGGCCAAGUGGCUAUGUCCUGCAGCUGGACUGAAAGGAUAGGAUGCCAUAAGGUGCUUCUGGAAGUCCCUUAAAAGUCCUGCACAGAGGCUGGCUGCAGUGGCUCACACCUGUAAUCCUGGCACUUUGGGAGGCUGAGGUGGACGGAUUACCUGAGGUCAGGAGUUUGAGACCAGCCUGGCCAACAUGGUGAAACUCCAUCUCUACUAAAAAUACAAAAAUUAGCCAGGCGCAGUGGCAGGCACCUGUAAUCCCAGCUACUCGGGAGGCUGAGGC
rnacentral:lncRNA from 1 species